AUUUAUAUAGUUUAAACAAAACAUUACAUUUUCACUGUAAAGAUAAAGGCCCCCUUUUAUAAAUU
rnacentral:tRNA from 1 species